UACGUAGGGUGCGAGCGUUGUCCGGAAUUAUUGGGCGUAAAGGGCUCGUAGGCGGUUUGUCGCGUCGGGAGUGAAAACACUGGGCUUAACUCAGUGCCUGCUUUCGAUACGGGCAGACUAGAGGCAUGCAGGGGAGAACGGAAUUCCUGGUGUAGCGGUGAAAUGCGCAGAUAUCAGGAGGAACACCGGUGGCGAAGGCGGUUCUCUGGGCCUGUUCUGACGCUGAGGAGCGAAAGCGUGGGGAGCGAACAGG
rnacentral:rRNA from 1 species